rnacentral:rRNA from 1 species
UACGGAGGGUGCGAGCGUUGUCCGGAAUCACUGGGCGUAAAGGGCGCGUAGGCGGCCUGAUAAGUAGGGGGUGAAAUCCUGCGGCUUAACCGCAGGGCUGCCUUCUAAACUGUCAGGCUGGAGCACAGUAGAGGCAGGUGGAAUUCCCGGUGUAGCGGUGGAAUGCGUAGAGAUCCGGCAGAAGACCGGUGGCGAAGGCGGCCCCCUGGGCAGUAACUGACACUGAGGCGCGACAGCGUGGGGAGCAAACAGG